GUCAACUACCCCGCUCUAAAGAGCGAGGCUUGAUCAAGGCCUUGGUUGACUAGCCUCAGGCCACCCAAAAGGCGGACUACGUUGGUUGGGAAUGCAUAGGCACCGCGGGAUGUCAAUCCUAGUCCCGCGCUCUGC
rnacentral:sRNA from 1 species